UAAUUGAAGAGUUUGAUCAUGGCUCAGAUUGAACGCUGGCGGCAGGCCUAACACAUGCAAGUCGAGCGGUAACAGGAGAAAGCUUGCUUUCUUGCUGACGAGCGGCGGACGGGUGAGUAAUGUAUGGGGAUCUGCCCGAUAGAGGGGGAUAACUACUGGAAACGGUGGCUAAUACCGCAUAACGUCUACGGACCAAAGCAGGGGCUCUUCGGACCUUGCACUAUCGGAUGAACCCAUAUGGGAUUAGCUAGUAGGUGGGGUAAAGGCUCACCUAGGCGACGAUCUCUAGCUGGUCUGAGAGGAUGAUCAGCCACACUGGGACUGAGACACGGCCCAGACUCCUACGGGAGGCAGCAGUGGGGAAUAUUGCACAAUGGGCGCAAGCCUGAUGCAGCCAUGCCGCGUGUAUGAAGAAGGCCUUAGGGUUGUAAAGUACUUUCAGCGGGGAGGAAGGUGAUAAGGUUAAUACCCUU
rnacentral:rRNA from 1 species